CUGGCUGAACCAGAAGUCGGUGACCUAACCUUCGGGAUGGAACCGCCCAAGGUGCGGCCGGUGAUUGGGGUGAAGUCGUAACAAGGUAGCCGUAGGUGAACCUGCAGAAGGAUCA
rnacentral:rRNA from 1 species